CCGCACGGGUGAGUAACACGUAUCCAACCUGCCGUCUACUCUUGGACAGCCUUCUGAAAGGAAGAUUAAUACAAGAUGGCAUCAUGAGUCCGCAUGUUCACAUGAUUAAAGGUGUUCCGGUAGACGAUGGGGAUGCGUUCCAUUAGAUAUUAGGCGGGGUAACGGCCCACCUAGUCUUCGAUGGAUAGGGGUUCUGAGAGGAAGGUCCCCCACAUUGGAACUGAGACACGGUCCAA
rnacentral:rRNA from 1 species